ACUCCUACGGGAGGCAGCAGUGAGGAAUAUUGGUCAAUGGAGGGAACUCUGAACCAGCCAUCCCGCGUGUAGGAAGACGGCCUUAUGGGUUGUAAACUACUUUUAUACAGGAAGAAACGUACCCUCGUGAGGGUGCCUGACGGUACUGUAGGAAUAAGCACCGGCUAACUCUGUGCCAGCAGCCGCGGUAAUACAGAGGGUGCGAGCGUUAAUCGGAUUUACUGGGCGUAAAGCGUGCGUAGGCGGCCAUUUAAGUCAAAUGUGAAAUCCCCGAGCUUAACUUGGGAAUUGCAUUCGAUACUGGAUGGCUAGAGUAUGGGAGAGGAUGGUAGAAUUCCAGGUGUAGCGGUGAAAUGCGUAGAGAUCUGGAGGAAUACCGAUGGCGAAGGCAGCCAUCUGGCCUAAUACUGACGCUGAGGUACGAAAGCAUGGGGGAGCAAACAGGAUUAGAUACCCUGGUAGACAUCAC
rnacentral:rRNA from 1 species